CCUACGGGCGGCUGCAGUGGGGAAUUUUGGACAAUGGGCGCAAGCCUGAUCCAGCCAUUCCGCGUGAGUGAAGAAGGCCUUCGGGUUGUAAAGCUCUUUCGCAAGGGAAGAAAACUUAUCCUCUAACAUAGGAUGAGGUUGACGGUACCUUGAUAAGAAGCACCGGCUAACUACGUGCCAGCGGCCGCGGUAAUACGUAGGGUGCGUACGUUGAGUGGAAUUAGUGGGGGUAGAGUGGGCGGUCAGAUGUGAAAUCCCCGAGCUCAACUUGGGAACUGCGUUUGAAACUACAAGACUAGAAUAGGUCAGAGGGGGGUAGAAUUCCACGUGUAGCAGUGAAAUGCGUAGAGAUGUGGAGGAAUAUCAAUGGCGAAGGCAGCCCCCUGGGAUCAUAUUGACGCUCAUGCACGAAAGCGUGGGGAGCAAACAGGAUUAGAUACCCGUGUAGUC
rnacentral:rRNA from 1 species